rnacentral:rRNA from 1 species
ACGGGAGGCAGCAGUGGGGGAUAUUGCACAAUGGGGGAAACCCUGAUGCAGCGACGCCGCGUGAGUGAAGAAGUAUUUCGGUAUGUAAAGCUCUAUCAGCAGGGAAGAAAUCAUGACGGUACCUGACUAAGAAGCCCCGGCUAACUACGUGCCAGCAGCCGCGGUAAUACGUAGGGGGCAAGCGUUAUCCGGAUUUACUGGGUGUAAAGGGAGCGCAGACGGUUUUGCAAGUCAGAAGUGAAAACCCAGGGCUCAACCUUGGGAUUGCUUUUGAAACUGUAGGACUUGAGUGCCGGAGAGGUAAGCGGAAUUCCUAGUGUAGCGGUGAAAUGCGUAGAUAUUAGGAGGAACACCAGUGGCGAAGGCGGCUUACUGGACGGUAACUGACGUUGAGGCUCGAAAGCGUGGGGAGCAAACAGGAUUAGAUACCCUGGUA